ACGGGAGGCAGCAGUCGGGAAUAUUGCGCAAUGGAGGAAACUCUGACGCAGUGACGCCGCGUAUAGGAAGAAGGUUUUCGGAUUGUAAACUAUUGUCGUUAGGGAAGAUAAAAGACUGUACCUAAGGAGGAAGCCCCGGCUAACUAUGUGCCAGCAGCCGCGGUAAUACAUAGGGGGCAAGCGUUAUCCGGAAUUAUUGGGUGUAAAGGGUGCGUAGACGGGAAAGCAAGUUAGUUGUGAAAUCCCUCGGCUUAACUUAGGAACUGCAACUAAAACUACUAUUCUUGAGUGUCGGAGGGGAAAGUGGAAUUCCUAGUGUAGCGGUGAAAUGCGUAGAUAUUAGGAGGAACACCAGUGGCGAAGGCGACUUUCUGGACGAUAACUGACGUUGAGGCACGAGAGUGUGGGGAGCAAACAGGAUUAGAUACCCUGGUA
rnacentral:rRNA from 1 species